AAAUUGAAGAGUUUGAUCAUGGCUCAGAUUGAACGCUGGCGGCAGGCCUAACACAUGCAAGUCGAGCGGUAGCACAGAGAGCUUGCUCUCGGGUGACGAGCGGCGGACGGGUGAGUAAUGUCUGGGAAACUGCCUGAUGGAGGGGGAUAACUACUGGAAACGGUAGCUAAUACCGCAUAAUGUCGCAAGACCAAAGUGGGGGACCUUCGGGCCUCAUGCCAUCAGAUGUGCCCAGAUGGGAUUAGCUAGUAGGUGGGGUAACGGCUCACCUAGGCGACGAUCCCUAGCUGGUCUGAGAGGAUGACCAGCCACACUGGAACUGAGACACGGUCCAGACUCCUACGGGAGGCAGCAGUGGGGAAUAUUGCACAAUGGGCGCAAGCCUGAUGCAGCCAUGCCGCGUGUGUGAAGAAGGCCUUCGGGUUGUAAAGCACUUUCAGCGGGGAGGAAGGCGGUGAGGUUAAUAACCUCAUCGAUUGACGUUACCCGCAGAAGAAGCACCGGCUAACUCCGUGCCAGCAGCCGCGGUAAUACGGAGGGUGCAAGCGUUAAUCGGAAUUACUGGGCGUAAAGCGCACGCAGGCGGUCUGUCAAGUCGGAUGUGAAAUCCCCGGGCUCAACCUGGGAACUGCAUUCGAAACUGGCAGGCUAGAGUCUUGUAGAGGGGGGUAGAAUUCCAGGUGUAGCGGUGAAAUGCGUAGAGAUCUGGAGGAAUACCGGUGGCGAAGGCGGCCCCCUGGACAAAGACUGACGCUCAGGUGCGAAAGCGUGGGGAGCAAACAGGAUUAGAUACCCUGGUAGUCCACGCCGUAAACGAUGUCGAUUUGGAGGUUGUGCCCUUGAGGCGUGGCUUCCGGAGCUAACGCGUUAAAUCGACCGCCUGGGGAGUACGGCCGCAAGGUUAAAACUCAAAUGAAUUGACGGGGGCCCGCACAAGCGGUGGAGCAUGUGGUUUAAUUCGAUGCAACGCGAAGAACCUUACCUGGUCUUGACAUCCACAGAACUUUCCAGAGAUGGAUUGGUGCCUUCGGGAACUGUGAGACAGGUGCUGCAUGGCUGUCGUCAGCUCGUGUUGUGAAAUGUUGGGUUAAGUCCCGCAACGAGCGCAACCCUUAUCCUUUGUUGCCAGCGGUUAGGCCGGGAACUCAAAGGAGACUGCCAGUGAUAAACUGGAGGAAGGUGGGGAUGACGUCAAGUCAUCAUGGCCCUUACGACCAGGGCUACACACGUGCUACAAUGGCAUAUACAAAGAGAAGCGACCUCGCGAGAGCAAGCGGACCUCAUAAAGUAUGUCGUAGUCCGGAUUGGAGUCUGCAACUCGACUCCAUGAAGUCGGAAUCGCUAGUAAUCGUAGAUCAGAAUGCUACGGUGAAUACGUUCCCGGGCCUUGUACACACCGCCCGUCACACCAUGGGAGUGGGUUGCAAAAGAAGUAGGUAGCUUAACCUUCGGGAGGGCGCUUACCACUUUGUGAUUCAUGACUGGGGUGAAGUCGUAACAAGGUAACCGUAGGGGAACCUGCGGUUGGAUCACCUCCUUACCUUAAAGAA
rnacentral:rRNA from 2 species